rnacentral:rRNA from 1 species
UCAACUUGAGAGUUUGAUCCUGGCUCAGAACGAACGCUGGCGGCAGGCCUAACACAUGCAAGUCGAGCGCCCCGCAAGGGGAGCGGCGGACGGGUGAGUAACGCGUGGGAACGUACCCUUUGCUACGGAAUAGCCUCGGGAAACUGGGAGUAAUACCGUAUGUGCCCUUCGGGGGAAAGAUUUAUCGGCAAAGGAUCGGCCCGCGUUGGAUUAGGUAGUUGGUGGGGUAAUGGCCUACCAAGCCGACGAUCCAUAGCUGGUUUGAGAGGAUGAUCAGCCACACUGGGACUGAGACACGGCCCAGACUCCUACGGGAGGCAGCAGUGGGGAAUCUUAGACAAUGGG